rnacentral:lncRNA from 1 species
GUUGGAAUUGAUUCAGUAAAUUUUUUUGUUCUUUUGAAAAUCUAAAAUAUAACUAACCCAAGUAUACAACUGUGCCUUAUAGUAUAAUGAUGUGUAGUACUAGUAUAGUGUGUGUGUGUGUGUGUGUGUGUGUGUGUGUGUGUGUGUGUGUGUGUGUGUGUGUGUGUGUGUGUGUGUGUGUGUGUGUGUGUGUGUGUGUGUGUGUGUGUGUGUGUGUGUGUGUGUGUGUGUGUGUGUGUGUGUGUGUGUGUGUGUGUGUGUGUGUGUGUGUGUGUGUCUCUCUAACAAUGUGUGCUGCUCAUCUUGAGUAAUCAAAUGCAACCCUUUUUAAGGAAUGUAUGGACAAACUGGACCUCAGACACUUGGUGUCCAUUUCAAUGGAUGGGCCCAGUGUGAACUGGAAACUCUUCGACAUUUUCCAGAAAGAUCAAUCUGAGCAGUACGGAGGUGUUCAGCUCAUUUGUGUGGGGAGCUGUGGCUUACACACGCUACACAACGCAUUCAAGUGUGGGUUCAGUGCAUGGCAGCUGGACAAGUUGCUGAGAGCAAUGCACACAUUGUUUCACAAUGUGCCUGCCAGGAGAGAGGAUUACAUCACCAUAACCAAGUCCAGUGUGUUCCCCCUGUCUUUCUGUGCCCAUCGUUGGGUAGAAAACCUUCCGGUUGUGGAGAGAGCCUUGGCUGUCUGGCCAUCACUUCUCCUGUACAUGGAAGCUGUGAAAACAAAGAGACUCUCCAACCCUGGGACAGCAUCCUAUGACACAGUUGCAGCAGCCAUAAAGGAUCCACUCAUCUUGGCCAAAUUGCAGUUCUACGCAGCACUUGCCAGGACCUUCACUCCCUUCUUGAAAAAAUAUCAGACAGAUAAUCCUGUGCUCCCAUUCCUCCCCAAGGAUCUCACCGAGUUGAUGAUGAGUCUACUCAGACGUUUCAUAAAGAGAGAAGUCCUCCACGAUAUCACUGCCCUGCAGCUGACCAAACUGGAUAUUACAGACAAGACCAUCUGGCUCAGCCCACAAGACAUCAGCA